UCUGUCCCUGGCAAACAGGGGAGCUGGCCCCUGAAGGGACAGGGUGGUAGAGAAAAGACAGGCGUCUGUGCCCAGAGGUGCUGACUGGUGAGGACGUGCUGCUGCCUGACAUU
ensembl:snoRNA